CCUACGGGUGGCAGCAGUGAGGAAUAUUGGUCAAUGGACGAGAGUCUGAACCAGCCAAGUAGCGUGAAGGAUGACUGCCCUAUGGGUUGUAAACUUCUUUUAUAAAGGAAUAAAACGAGGCACGUGUGCCUUUUUGCAUGUACUUUAUGAAUAAGGAUCGGCUAACUCCGUGCCAGCAGCCGCGGUAAUACGGAGGAUCCGAGCGUUAUCCGGAUUUAUUGGGUUUAAAGGGAGCGUAGAUGGGUUGUUAAGUCAGUUGUGAAAGUUUGGGGCUCAACCGUAAAAUUGCAAUUGAUACUGGAAGUCUUGAGUACAGGUGAGGUAGGCGGAAUGCGUGGUGUAGCGGUGAAAUGCUUAGAUAUCACGAAGAACCCCGAUUGCGAAGGCAGCUUACUAAAGUGUGACUGACAUUGAUGCUCGAAAGUGUGGGUAUCAAACAGGAUUAGAUACCCGUGUAGUC
rnacentral:rRNA from 1 species